rnacentral:rRNA from 1 species
CCUACGGGAGGCUGCAGUGGGGAAUAUUGCACAAUGGGGGAAACCCUGAUGCAGCGACGCCGCGUGAGUGAAGAAGUAUUUCGGUAUGUAAAGCUCUAUCAGCAGGGGAGAAAAUGACGGUACCUGAUCAAGAAGCCCCGGCUAACUACGUGCCAGCAGCCGCGGUAAGACGUAGGGGGCAAGCGUUAUCCGGAUUUACUGGGUGUAAAGGGAGCGUAGACGGCAGCACAAGUCUGGAGUGAAAUGCCGGGGCUUAACCCCGGAACUGCUUUGGAAACUGUGCAGCUAGAGUGCAGGAGAGGUAAGUGGAAUUCCUAGUGUAGCGGUGAAAUGCGUAGAUAUUAGGAGGAACACCAGUGGCGAAGGCGGCUUACUGGACUGUAACUGACGUUGAGGCUCGAAAGCGUGGGGAGCAAACAGGAUUAGAUACCCUGGUAGUC